rnacentral:lncRNA from 1 species
UUUUUUAUAGUUUUCAAAUGGCUUCAAACACAUGAUGCAAUUAAAAAGAAAAAACAAAUCUAUGUUAUUAAACAAUAAUAAAAGCUAUGAGUAAUAAAACAUAAACGUAAAAGAAAAAACUACACAUAGGGGUAUCGAACCCACUACACUAAAGACCUAGACACCACUCCCCUCCACCAGACCACUUACUAACUAAUUGUUAUCUUAAUGCUAACUUAAAUAUAUAAACUAAGAUAGAUUAAAAAAGAAUUAAAAUAAAAAACUAAAUAAUAAAAAAAAACUGUUGGUCUACUAGUAAUUAAACCCAGUCGCAUGGCUGUUGGGUUUACAAAGGGGAAUAAGUUGGAAAUGGUAAAAAAAGAAUCAUAGUUAAUUACCAAUAUUAAUAUCUACAUCCAAAAGUCACUAAAUUGAAUUAAAAGGUUUUUAACCAGACUUAAAGUGAAUAAUAAAUAAAAAAGAAGUUGAAACGAAUUGGACAGAACUCUUCCUCUCUCAAAGCUCUCAAUCUCGUCCUCUCCAUCGCUCUCACCAUCUCACGAUUUUUCUCACCUGUAUCUCUCAAUCUCACGAUCGUUUAACCUCACUCACCGCCGCUCACUCAUCGCCGCUCUCCACUUCUCUCACCCUAUAACGCAAGGGUCCAAGGUUUAAGGAGAAACAAGAAGAAAAAAGCUCACCUUUGGCGAAAACUACGGAGACGAUGAAGAUUCAAA